AUACGUAGGGGGCAAGCGUUAUCCGGAAUCACUGGGUGUAAAGGGUGCGUAGGCGGUAGGGCAAGUCAGAUGUGAAAGCCCGGGGCUCAACUCCGGGACUGCAUUUGAAACUGUCUUACUAGAGUGCAGGAGAGGAAAGCGGAAUUCCUAGUGUAGCGGUGAAAUGCGUAGAUAUUAGGAAGAACACCAGUGGCGAAGGCGGCUUUCUGGACUGUAACUGACGCUGAGGCACGAAAGCGUGGGGAGCGAACAGGAUUAGAUACCCUGGUAGUCCACGCCGUAAACGAUGAGUGCUAGGUGUCGGGGCCGACAGGUCUCGGUGCUGAAGUUAACGCAUUAAGCACUCCACCUGGGGAGUACGAUCGCAAGAUUGAA
rnacentral:rRNA from 1 species